rnacentral:rRNA from 1 species
UACGUAGGGGGCAAGCGUUGUCCGGAAUUAUUGGGCGUAAAGCGCGCGCAGGCGGUUUCUUUAGUCUGAUGUGAAAGCCCACGGCUCAACCUUGGAGUGUCAUUGGAAACUGGGGAACUUGAGGACAGAAGAGGAGAGUGGAAUUCCACGUGUAGCGGUGAAAUGCGUAGAUAUGUGGAGGAACACCAGUGGCGAAGGCGACUCUCUGGUCUGUUUCUGACGCUGAGGUGAGAAAGCGUGGGUAGCAAACAGG